GCUGUGAAUCAAUUUCACAGCCAAAUUAUCCCAAGUCGGGGUUUUGUUUUGCCAGUAAACUGAGCUCGUUAAACGCAAUACCUCGUGAAAAGCAGGAAGGCAAAGACAUAAAUAAAAAUAUUUCCUACGGAAAUAUGGUUUUUUAUGCCAAGCCUGAAUUAUAGUGAUAAGAUAAAAGUAGGAAAUAGUUAGAUUGGAUUGUGGCAGAUUAAGGUGGGACUUGGCGGAGAAGGAAAUUCUGGUGCUUUUACCUACGUAAGAAACAUUAAGUCAAGGCCAAAUUUUAGCUACUAAAAGCAAAGCAAAGUUAUUCACUUCUCAAUUCAACCUUUCUCGUGAUCGAGUGAAGACAUACGAAUUUUCUUCCCACCUCCUCCCGCUGGCCUGCCGCUUUGUAUUUUAGUUUGUUGUCUUUUCUUGUACAUAUCAUUAUUAUACCUUUUUUGCCUAAUUGGCGUGUAGUCCUGCCACCUUUACUGGCAAUGAACAUUAACAGACUCAAGUUAUUAACUGAAAUUAUCAAUUUUAAUGAUUUUAUGAUAUUUCUAAUUAAAUGACGAGAUUUUAAAUAAAGCGGCUGUGAAUCAAUUUCACAGCCAAAUUAUCCCAAGUCGGGGUUUUGUUUUGCCAGUAAACUGAGCUCGUUAAACGCAAUACCUCGUGAAAAGCAGGAAGGCAAAG